rnacentral:rRNA from 1 species
UACGUAGGUGGCAAGCGUUGUCCGGAUUUACUGGGCGUAAAGAGCGCGCAGGCGGUCGGAUAAGUCGAAUGUGAAAGCCCCUGGCUCAACCAGGGAGGGUCAUUCGAUACUGUUCGACUCGAAGGCAGGAGAGGGAAGUGGAAUUCCGGGUGUAGUGGUGAAAUGCGUAGAUAUCGGGAAGAACACCUGUGGCGAAGGCGGCUCUCUGGAACGGUACUGACGCUGAGACGCGAAAGCGUGGGGAGCGAACAGG